UAAGCAUAUCAAUAAGCGGAGGAAAAGAAACCAACAGGGAUUGCCCUAGUAACGGCGAGUGAAGCGGCAACAGCUCAAAUUUGAAAUCUGGCUCCGGCCCGAGUUGUAAUUUGCAGAGGAAGCUUUGGGCGCGGUACCAACUGAGUCCCCUGGAACGGGGCGCCACAGAGGGUGAGAGCCCCGUAUAGUUGGAUGCCUAGCCUGUGUAAAGCUCCUUCGACGAGUCGAGUAGUUUGGGAAUGCUGCUCAAAAUGGGAGGUAAAUUUCUUCUAAAGCUAAAUACCGGCCAGAGACCGAUAGCGCACAAGUAGAGUGAUCGAAAGAUGAAAAGCACUUUGAAAAGAGGGUUAAAUAGCACGUGAAAUUGUUGAAAGGGAAGCGCUUGUGACCAGACUUGCGCCCGGCUGAUCAUCCGGUGUUCUCACCGGUGCACUCUGCCGGGCUCAGGCCAGCAUCGGUUCUCGCGGGGGGAUAAAGGCCCUGGGAACGUAGCUCCUCCGGGAGUGUUAUAGCCCAGGGCGUCAUACCCUCUCGGGGACCGAGGUUCGCGCAUCUGCAAGGAUGCUGGCGUAAUGGUCAUCAGCGACCCGUCUUGAAACACGGACCAAGGAGUCAAGGUUUUGCGCGAGUGUUUGGGUGUAAAACCCGCACGCGUAAUGAAAGUGAACGUAGGUGAGAGCUUCGGCGCAUCAUCGACCGAUCCUGAUGUUUUCGGAUGGAUUUGAGUAGGAGCGUUAAGCCUUGGACCCGAAAGAUGGUGAACUAUGCUUGGAUAGGGUGAAGCCAGAGGAAACUCUGGUGGAGGCUCGCAGCGGUUCUGACGUGCAAAUCGAUCGUCAAAUCUGAGCAUGGGGGCGAAAGACUAAUCGAACCAUCUAGUAGCUGGUUACCGCCGAA
rnacentral:rRNA from 1 species